rnacentral:rRNA from 1 species
AUUGAACGCUGGCGGCAGGCCUAACACAUGCAAGUCGAACGAGUGGCGGACGGGUGAGUAAUGUCUGGGAAACUGCCUGAUGGAGGGGGAUAACUACUGGAAACGGUAGCUAAUACCGCAUACCAUCGGAUGUGCCCACAUGGGAUUCGCUAGUAGUUGGGGUAAAGGCUCACCUAGGCGACGAUCCCUAGCUGGUCUGAGAGGAUGACCAGCCACCCUGGAACUGAGACACGGUCCAUACUCCUACGAGAGGCAGCAGUGGGUAAUAUUGCACAAUGGGCGCAAGCCUGAUGCAGCCAUGCCGCGUGUCUGACGAAGUCCUUCGGGUUGUAAAGUACUUUCAGCGGGGGGGCGUUACCCGCAGAAGAAGCACCGGCUAACUCCGUGCCAGCAGCCGAGGUAAUUC